GUGCAAGUCGCGAAACCUCCGCAAUACACGAAAGUGUGACGGGGCCAUCCCGAGUGCCGUCCGCUGAGGACGGCUUUUCCCUAGUGUACACAGCUGGGGGAAUAAGGAGAGGGCAAGCCUGGUGUCAGCCGCCGCGGUAAUACCAGCUCUCCGAGUGGUGGGGACGCUUAUUGGGCCUAAAGCAUCCGUAGCCGGCUGGGCAAGUCCUCCGUUAAAUCCAACGAUUCAAUCGUUGGGCUGCGGGGGAUACUGUCCAGCUUGGGGGCGGGAGAGGCCGACGGUAUUCCCGGGGUAGGGGUGAAAUCCUAUAAUCCCGGGAGGACCACCAGUGGCGAAGGCUGUCGGCUAGAACGCGCCCGACGGUGAGGGAUGAAAGCUGGGGGAGCGAACCGGAUUAGAUACCCCUGUAGU
rnacentral:rRNA from 1 species